AGUGAACGCUGGCGGUAGGCCUAACACAUGCAAGUCGAACGGCAGCACAGUAAGAGCUUGCUCUUACGGGUGGCGCGUGGCGGACGGGUGCGGAAUACAUCGGAAUCUACUUUGUAGUGUGGGCUAACGUAGGGAAACUUACGCUAAUACCGCAUACGACGUACGGGUGAAAGCAGGGGAUCUUCUGACCUUGCGCGAAUGAAUGAGCCGAUGUCGGAUUAGCUAGGUGGCGGGGUAAAGGGCCACAAAGGCGACGAUCCGUAGCUGUUCUGAGAGGAUGAUCAGCCACCCUGGAUCUGAGACACGGCCGCCACUCCGACGGGGGGCCGCAGUGGGGACUAUUGGACAAUGGGGGCAAGCCUGAUCCUGCCAUACCGCGUGGGUGAAGAAGGCCUCCGGGUUCUAAAGCCCUUUUGUUGGGAAAGAAAAGCAGCAGUUUAAUCCCCCGCUGUUCUGACGGUACCCAAAGAAUAAGCACCGGCUAACUUCGUG
rnacentral:rRNA from 1 species